rnacentral:rRNA from 1 species
AAUCUUCCACAAUGGGCGAAAGCCUGAUGGAGCAACGCCGCGUGAGUGAAGAAGGUCUUCGGAUCGUAACACUCUGUUGUAAGGGAAGAACAAGUACAGUAGUGACUGGCUGUACCUUGACGGUACCUUAUUAGAAAGCCACGGCUAACUACGUGCCAGCAGCCGCAGUAAUACGUAGGUGGCAAGCGUUGUCCGGAAUUAUUGGGCGUAAAGCGAGCGCAGGCGGUCCGUGAAGUCUGAUGUGAAGGCCCACGGCUCAACCGAGGAGGGUCAUUGGAAACUGGGGGACUUGAGUGCAGAAGAGGAAAGUGGAAUUCCAAGUGUAGCGGUGAAAUGCGUAGAGAUUUGGAGGAACACCAGUGGCGAAGGCGACUUUCUGGUCUGUAACUGACGCUGAGGCGCGAAAGCGUGGGGAGCAAACAGG